GACGAACGCUGGCGGCGUGCCUAAUACAUGCAAGUCGAACGCAGUGGGGACGGGUGAGUAACACGUGGGUAACCUACCAUCAGAGGGGAUAAAAAGUGGAAACAGGUGCAAAACCGAUAUUGAAGGAUGGACCCGCGGUGCAUUAGCUAGUUGGUGAGGUAACGGCUCACCAAGGCAACGAGGCAUAGGCGUCCUGCGAGGGUGACCGGCCACACUGGAACUUAGACACGGCCCAGACUCCUACGUGAGGCAGCAGUAGGUAAUCUUCCGCAAUGGACGAAAGUCUGACCUAGCCACGCCGCGUGAGUGAAGAAGGUUUUCGGAUCGUAAAACUCUGUUGUUAGAGAAGCGGUAUCUAACCAGAAAGCCACGGCUAACUACGUGCCAGCCGCCGCGGUAAUAC
rnacentral:rRNA from 1 species